AUCUUUGCGCUUGGGGCAAUGACGCAGCUAGUGAGGUUCUAACCGAGGCGCGUCUAUUGCUGGUUGAAAACUAUUUCCAAACCCCCUCUUAGGCUUGAGGUAACUCAAGCCUUUGAGAAUUUCUGGAAGGGCUCCCUUAGGGUAAAGUC
rnacentral:snRNA from 9 species